UACGUAGGGUGCAAGCGUUGUCCGGAAUUAUUGGGCGUAAAGAGCUCGUAGGCGGUCUGUCGCGUCGGCUGUGAAAACCCGGGGCUCAACCCCGGGCCUGCAGUCGAUACGGGCAGACUAGAGUGUGGUAGGGGAGACUGGAAUUCCUGGUGUAGCGGUGGAAUGCGCAGAUAUCAGGAGGAACACCGGUGGCGAAGGCGGGUCUCUGGGCAGUAACUGACGCUGAGGAGCGAAAGCGUGGGGAGCGAACAGG
rnacentral:rRNA from 1 species